UGCGGGGUCGUCUAACGGUAGGACGCCUGACUCUGGAUCAGGUAGUCUAGGUUCGAAUCCUAGCCCCGCAGCCA
rnacentral:tRNA from 1 species